AGUCUCCUGAAGGAACGUUGAAGACGACGACGUUGAUAGGCCGGGUGUGUAAGCGCAGCGAUGCGUUGAGCUAACCGGUACUAAUGAACCGUAAGGCUUAACCUUACAACGCCGAAG
rnacentral:rRNA from 2 species